rnacentral:rRNA from 1 species
GAUAAGUCUCUUGAGAAAUCUGGCAGCUUAACUGUCAGGCUUUCAGGAGAUACUGUCUGGCUCGAGGCCGGGAGAGGUGAGAGGUACUUCAGGGGUAGGGGUGAAAUCUUGUAAUCCUUGAAGGACCACCAGUGGCGAAGGCGUCUCACCAGAACGGACCUGACGGCAAGGGACGAAAGCUAGGGGCACGAACCGGAUUAGAUACCCGGGUAGUCCUAGCCGUAAACGAUACUCGCUAGGUGUCGGCCACGGUGCGACCGUUGUCGGUGCCGUAGGGAAGCCGUGAAGCGAGCCACCUGGGAAGUACGGCCGCAAGGCUGAAACUUAAAGGAAUUGGCGGGGGAGCACCACAACGGGUGGAGCUUGCGGUUUAAUUGGAUUCAACGCCGGAAAUCUUACCGGGACCGACAGCAAUAUGAAGGCCAGGCUGAAGACUUUGCCGGAUUAGCUGAGAGGUGGUGCAUGGCCGUCGUCAGUUCGUACUGUGAAGCAUCCUGUUAAGUCAGGUAACGAGCGAGACCCANNNNNNNNAUNNCNNNNNNNNNNNNNNNNUNUCCGGUUGAUCCUGCCAGAGGUUACUGCUAUCGAGGUUCGACUAAGCCAUGCGAGUCGAAUGUAGCAAUACAUGGCGUACUGCUCAGUAACACGUGGACAACCUGCCCUUAGGUUGGGUAUAAACCCGGGAAACUGGGUAUAAUCCCCUAUAAGUCUCGGCUGCUGGAAUGCACCGAGAUUAAAAGCUCCGGCGCCUAAGGAUGGGUCUGCGGCCUAUCAGGUAGUAGUGGGUGUAGCGUACCUACUAGCCUACGACGGGUACGGGUUGUGAGAGCAAGAGCCCGGAGAUGGAUUCUGAGACACGAAUCCAGGCCCUACGGGGUGCAGCAGGCGCGAAAACUUUACAAUGCUGGCAACAGCGAUAAGGGAACCUCGAGUGCCAGGUUACAAAUCUGGCUGUCGAGAUGCCUAAAAAGCAUUUCAUAGCAAGGGCCGGGCAAGACCGGUGCCAGCCGCCGCGGUAACACCGGCGGCUCGAGUGGUAACCGUUAUUAU